GGCUGGUAUGAGUAGAGUGGUGUUUACAAUUAGUUGAUCACAACCAGUUUUUAGACUUAUUCAAGUUCCUUCUUCACUCCCACUGCUGCACCUGACUAGCCUAAA
rnacentral:Y_RNA from 1 species